CCGGAAAGACAGUGAUGUUGUAUUUCCAAGCACAUAGCUGAGCUGUAUGUGUGGACAACCUAAAACUGAGUCUUUUCCAU
rnacentral:snoRNA from 1 species